UUGAUGGUUUUCCAGCACCUCUUCCUUCGGCUAGUUUUCCGGCACCUCUUCCUCCGGUGGGUUUUCCAGCACCUCUUCCUCCGGUUGUUAUUAUUAUUGUUUUUUAAACACCUUAAAGCGUACUUUUCUCUUCCCUCUAAGAAUCAAGAUUCCGAAAUGGAGAUAAUCUCCUACGACAUUCCAGAACUGGCAGCUGCUCUGCUGCCGGUGGAAAACCCACCGGAGGAAGAGGUGCCAGAAAACCAACCGGAGGAAGAGGUACUGGAAAACCAUCAACUAGUCGAAGUUAUGGAACACAACACACCGGAUGAGGAAGAAGAGAAUCAGGUGGUAGUACCAGCUGCGUGUCUGAGAUGCUCUUUAUGCCGUAAACAUUUGGAUUUCAAUAAUCCCUCCCACGCAAGGUUAAUAGCUCACCGCUAAAAGCAUUAGAAUGCCAACAAGAGUCGCUGCAGUUUGUGUGCUCGAAGAUUUAAGCAUAAUUCGGAAUUCGACACUCACGAGUGUCGAAUAAUCAAAUAGGCGUGCGUUAUUUAUGGGUGUAUGAGUGUGUGUGCGUUUGUGCAUGUUUGUGUGCGGUUUUUAGUUUUUGCAAUUUUCAAGAGCAAGAAUUCGAGGAAAAAAAAAAAAGAAACCCAAGAAGCUAUGGAGACUGUUGGUGGGGAAGCAAUUUGUUCUUCGUGAUUGGUGCCUGGGGUAAACUUUUCUUGGAAAACUCUUUUUCAUUUUUCUGUUUUCUUUAAGAGCUUUUUCUUUGAAUUGUUGACAUGGCUAUGACGGUUUGUGUAACCAAGCUAUAUGAACUUGAUAUCGAUUUUUUUAGACGCGUAUGUAAAUGGCGAAAAAUCUUUUGUUUUUUGCUUUGAAGUUUAUAAAGUCAUCUAUGGUCGAUUUAGAAAUUAGUUAUUAAUAAACACCUCCGAGACAUCUCAUUAAUGGGUCUGUUUCUCACAGGCUUAUAGUUUUCUUUGAAUUUGAGUCUGUUCUUCUGCUACUGGUCCAUUGCCUUCUCCUAUCCUGCCUCAGUGGCAUGAUAAGGCUAGCGGAUUCUAUUCUUCCUCAGGUGCAAAGAUUAAAGAAUCUGGACAAUCAGCUGGAAAAUUUAUGUGCGAGGUUGCGCAGGAUGCAAGAGGUAAUGUCGCAGAUGCGGCAAGGCGAGUUGGCUCGCUGGUCAAAAGUUGAUGGGCACUUCUUCAGCAGCCAUCCACAAAACAGCCCUGCAAGAACUUGUUAUAUUCGCAGCUGCUACCACUGGCACAUUAUUUAUAGGAGGGCCUUCUGGGAGACAAUGGACAAGGAUGUUGUUAGGAAGACAAAAAGUUGAAAAGAGCCAAAAUGAUCGUGUUAAAAACAAGGCUAUUGGACUGAAUUUCAUUGAUGUCUAAUAUCGCAAAGGGCUUUACAAGACUUUGACAACGCCUUUCACCCCAGAUUUCGUUUCAUAUCUCAACCGUCAGUGGAUGUUAAAUGGAACAAAGUUUGGAGUAGGAAGAUUCUUCCUCGUCACAAACUUCUCCUGUGGCAAUGCAAUUCUAUUGGGGUAUCUUACCAGUCCGGACUGCAAUCUCUCACUUUAUGGACUCUCCUCAUUCUUGCCCUUUCAGUGAAGACGAGGAGGAAACUGCUGUUCAUCUGUUCCUUCUCUGCCGUGCUGUGAAGCCCAUUUGGUUUGCUUUUUUGUGGGGCCGUAGGACUGAGUAUCUCCUGGUUCACUCCAUGAGGAAUUUCCUCAAAACUCGGCAUUGAGGAGGGUCAAGACUUGGUUCCUGCUCAAGCGGACUUCCUUAUUUUUGCCUCAAUUGCUUUAGACCUUAUUUGGUUCACGAGACACAGGAAGGUUUUCGAAGGAGUUCAACCAAACUUCCACAAUCUUCAAGGUAUAUUGGCUUCCUCCCUUGCACAACCAAAAUCCGGCCCUUUUUUGGCUUCCUCCACCCUCAGAUUGGCUCAAACUGAACAUAGACGGUGCCAUUAAGGGCAUGACGACUCAGUAGAACUCCGUCGUUCCUUCAAGAUCGACCAUCUGCAGCAGCACUAGAUAUCAGACCCCAACUUCAGUUCCUAUGAAGCCAGCAGAAUCAGAUGAUGGUCUGACUAUUUUCGUUCCCGCCAAUUUACUCUAGUAUGAAGGUCCCCACAAAGCCAGUCACCCCAUCCAUAUGUGGAAUGUUUAGUUUACUGAUGUGAAUAACUUGGGAGUAGGUUAAUAUUUUAAAUCUUACAUUGUAAUACGUUUCUCCCUUUUGAUGUGAAUAACUUGGAGUAUGGUCAAUAUUAAAGUUGAAAGAGUACUAUUAGCGAUGCUAGAAUCUGAAAAAUUGUAGCUACCAAGUUGUUGGUUCCCACAACUUUACAC